GAAGUUUUCCACAUUUUUGAAGUUAGAGCAGUCGGAAGCCCAGCUAGGACGUGGCAGUUUCAUGGAUUUAGAAACACAUGACUUCAGGUUGGAAGACAAGCUUGCCAAAACUACUAGAGACAGCUGUAAAAUCACCACAGAAGCAUCCAUGGACUGAUGUCUCGGGUUAUUAAGGAUAAACUGUUUAAUCGGAUUAACGUUGCUUAA
rnacentral:lncRNA from 1 species